rnacentral:rRNA from 1 species
AAAUUGAAGAGUUUGAUCAUGGCUCAGAUUGAACGCUGGCGGCAGGCCUAACACAUGCAAGUCGAGCGGUAGCACAGAGAGCUUGCUCUCGGGUGACGAGCGGCGGACGGGUGAGUAAUGUCUGGGAAACUGCCUGAUGGAGGGGGAUAACUACUGGAAACGGUAGCUAAUACCGCAUAACGUCGCAAGACCAAAGUGGGGGACCUUCGGGCCUCAUGCCAUCAGAUGUGCCCAGAUGGGAUUAGCUAGUAGGUGGGGUAAUGGCUCACCUAGGCGACGAUCCCUAGCUGGUCUGAGAGGAUGACCAGCCACACUGGAACUGAGACACGGUCCAGACUCCUACGGGAGGCAGCAGUGGGGAAUAUUGCACAAUGGGCGCAAGCCUGAUGCAGCCAUGCCGCGUGUAUGAAGAAGGCCUUCGGGUUGUAAAGUACUUUCAGCGAGGAGGAAGGUGAUAAGGUUAAUAACCUUGUCGAUUGACGUUACUCGCAGAAGAAGCACCGGCUAACUCCGUGCCAGCAGCCGCGGUAAUACGGAGGGUGCAAGCGUUAAUCGGAAUUACUGGGCGUAAAGCGCACGCAGGCGGUCUGUUAAGUCAGAUGUGAAAUCCCCGGGCUCAACCUGGGAACUGCAUUUGAAACUGGCAGGCUUGAGUCUUGUAGAGGGGGGUAGAAUUCCAGGUGUAGCGGUGAAAUGCGUAGAGAUCUGGAGGAAUACCGGUGGCGAAGGCGGCCCCCUGGACAAAGACUGACGCUCAGGUGCGAAAGCGUGGGGAGCAAACAGGAUUAGAUACCCUGGUAGUCCACGCUGUAAACGAUGUCGACUUGGAGGUUGUUCCCUUGAGGAGUGGCUUCCGGAGCUAACGCGUUAAGUCGACCGCCUGGGGAGUACGGCCGCAAGGUUAAAACUCAAAUGAAUUGACGGGGGCCCGCACAAGCGGUGGAGCAUGUGGUUUAAUUCGAUGCAACGCGAAGAACCUUACCUACUCUUGACAUCCAGAGAACUUAGCAGAGAUGCUUUGGUGCCUUCGGGAACUCUGAGACAGGUGCUGCAUGGCUGUCGUCAGCUCGUGUUGUGAAAUGUUGGGUUAAGUCCCGCAACGAGCGCAACCCUUAUCCUUUGUUGCCAGCGGUUCGGCCGGGAACUCAAAGGAGACUGCCAGUGAUAAACUGGAGGAAGGUGGGGAUGACGUCAAGUCAUCAUGGCCCUUACGAGUAGGGCUACACACGUGCUACAAUGGCAUAUACAAAGAGAAGCGACCUCGCGAGAGCAAGCGGACCUCAUAAAGUAUGUCGUAGUCCGGAUUGGAGUCUGCAACUCGACUCCAUGAAGUCGGAAUCGCUAGUAAUCGUAGAUCAGAAUGCUACGGUGAAUACGUUCCCGGGCCUUGUACACACCGCCCGUCACACCAUGGGAGUGGGUUGCAAAAGAAGUAGGUAGCUUAACCUUCGGGAGGGCGCUUACCACUUUGUGAUUCAUGACUGGGGUGAAGUCGUAACAAGGUAACCGUAGGGGAACCUGCGGUUGGAUCACCUCCUUA